UGAUUGCUAUCAGUGGACUGUCUCGUCAGCUUAAUCGACAUACUGCCGAUAUGAAUGAGCGGUUCACUCAACUGCAGAAUUCGGUAAACUCCAGGUUGCUGUCCAUAGAGGACAAGUUGGCUGCUCUGGAGUCGGACAACUGUGCGGGAAAGACUAACUCCAAGAAGAGAAGACGGGUGCACAAUCCCAAGCUUGCGCCGCCUGUAAGAGACGGUACGCAGGAGCUAUAGAUAUAGAAGCUACCCAGCCAGAAAACUCAUUGCGGGCGGAAGCUGCGAAGAGUUCAGCUCGGAGUCGAGCGAGAAGAAAGAGGCUGCUGGAAUCGAGACCGAGUGUGCUAGCAGAUGACGAGGUGGAACUCUGGAAGUCCGCCGCCGUAGACCUCAUGUCUGACGAAGAAGAUGGCGUUGUUGGCGGGGUCUCUGGAUGGAUUGUACGGUCGCCAUCAUUUCGUAGAGGCGACUCCGAAGUACAGAGCCAUGCACAAUAGGCGUCUGCACAACGGACCUGUGUCAGAAAGAAUGCCACCAGUUACCUACAACCCCAAGGAGGCAAACAGACAGUUCACUGAGUUGUAGUUUUUGGAUCAUCCUCUACCCAUGUGUGGGCAGAUCCUCGCUUUGUAUAUAGUUGUGUUUGUUUUA